AGAGUUUGAUCAUGGCUCAGAAUCAACGCUGGCGGCGGCCUAACACAUGCAAGUCGAACGAGAAAGCAGGAGCAAUCUUGUGAGUAAAGUGGCGUACGGGUGAGUAACACGUGGAUCAUCUACCCUCUUGUGGGGGAUAACUCUGGGAAACCGGAGCUAAUACCGCAUAAGUCCGAGAGGAGAAAGCAGCAAUGCGCAGGAGGAGGAGUCCGCGGCCGAUUAGCUAGUUGGUAGGGUAAAAGCCUACCAAGGCUACGAUCGGUAGCCGGCCUGAGAGGGCACACGGCCACACUGGCACUGAAACACGGGCCAGACUCCUACGGGAGGCAGCAGUGGGGAAUCUUGCACAAUGGGGGCAACCCUGAUGCAGCGACGCCGCGUGAGCGAUGAAGCCCUUCGGGGUGUAAAGCUCUUUCGGCAGGGAAGAUUAUGACGGUACCUGCAGAAGCAGCUGCGGCUAACUACGUGCCAGCAGCCGCGGUAAUACGUAGGCAGCGAGCGUUGUUCGGAGUUACUGGGCGUAAAGGGUGUGUAGGCGGUCUUCUAAGUCUGGUGUGAAAUCUCCCGGCUCAACUGGGAGGGUGCGCCGGAAACUGGAAGGCUAGAGUGCGGGAUGGGAGAGUGGAAUUCCUGGUGUAGCGGUGAAAUGCGUAGAUAUCAGGAGGAACACCUGUGGUGUAGACGGCUCUCUGGACCGCAACUGACGCUGAGACACGAAAGCGUGGGUAGCAAACAGGAUUAGAUACCCUUGUAGUCC
rnacentral:rRNA from 1 species